rnacentral:lncRNA from 1 species
CAAGAACAAAGCCCUGGCUCUCUGAGUUCACCUCUGGAAGUUUGGUGUCUGUGCCAGAGGUUUGCUGUGGGGCUCAGGGAAGAUGCAGAAACAUCAGGUGGAGAUCACACAUCCUCCCCAGCUCACAUCCAGGGAUGUGAGAUGCCCCCAAAACCCGCAAAGAGCCCCAUAACACUGCCCAUUCUUUCCAGCCUGCCUGUCCUUUACACAGCUUGACAGGUGGAAACAAGAUUUCCCUGCUGUUUGCACUUCCUUUUAUGAGUUAUUUACUUUUUUUAACUUUUUUUUAUAAUCUGGAGCCUGUGUUUGAGACACUCCUGUGCCCACAGUUCUUCUCCUGGGGAAUCCAGACAGUGGCUGCUUGUGGCUUAGUCAUUGUUUAAACAAACCCACAGCUCAGCAGAGCUGUGUGAGGAGAACUGGCCUGCUUUAUUCAGUUUAUAGGUCUGUCCUCCAGAAAUAAAACUGUCUUUUUGACACAUUAGGCCCAAAUUUGCCAUAGUUACUGCAUUUGCCACAAUAAAACAGGCAGGACAAAAGAAGUCCAAACACUUCUGCAAGAAGCUUUAAAGAGCUUUGAAAGCUCUUUGUCAUUAUUUGUUCCAGAGUCCAGUCCCAGGAUCGUGUAAUUAAAAAUCAGCCCUUCAGUUCCAGCCUUGUGACAAUAUCCAGAAUAUUGUCAGAAUAUUCUGAGCUGGGAAGGGCCCACAGAGAUCAUCAAGUGAGGAUCCAUAAACUCUCAAGCCCAACAUUCCCACACCAAAAGCAGCAGAGCCCAACAGGUGGUGGGGAAAUGGAAAGAGGGAUUUAAUCUGCACUGGAAUUCAGAAUUUGCAGAGAGAGGUGAGGAGCAGAACACAGGAAGGGCAGGGACAAAUGAGCCAAGGAACUGCACAAAGAAGUGCAAAUGAGACAACCAAGCCACCAGGAGCUGCUCCCUCGGUUUAUGACAGUAAUUGUUUGCCUUUGUGUGCUCAUAAAGGCAUUUCAAAUAAACAGAACAUUUCCUAGUAUAGGCCAUGGCACUGUUUUCUUCCUGGUAGAAGUUUCAAGAAUACCAGAAAAUAUUAAGAUGCUGACACGUGAAACUCAACAAAAGAGCAACAAGCCUUUUCCUGUUAUUAAACAAACGGAAACUGUGACCCAUGAACCUAGACAGCAUUUGGGAUGAGCUCUGAGACACGUUUCAGGUAAAAUCUGAGUUCCAUAGGAUUGGUCCUGUGCAGAAAUCUUAAAGCACAUUCCUGGAUCAGGCAUGGAAUGGAGUGACACCAGAUUUUCAUUUUGUUAUAUGAUAAAAUAACUUAUUCUGCUUCCUUAGCAUUGUAAAUGAGGUAAAAGUUUUGGAGCCAAACUCAGUUUUAGCUGUUACACUCCCAGCUAUGGGAAUUAUAAAUCACUGG